UGUUUUCAGGGGAGAGGCAGCUAGCGGAUCAAAGAGAGAUGCCUACUAUUUGAGACAAAAAUGACAUUGCGCUGAAAUCAUGCAGGAACUCAUAGUGCACCU